rnacentral:rRNA from 1 species
GAUGAACGCUGGCGGCGUGCCUAAUACAUGCAAGUCGAGCGAUGAAGCUAGGUGCUUGCUCCUAUUUGGAGAGCAGCGAACGGGUGAGUAACGCGUGGAGAAUCUACCUUUGAGCGGGGGACAACAUCUGGAAACGAAUGCUAAUACCGCAUAACAACUUUAACCAUAUGUUUUAAGUUUGAAAGAUGCAAUUGCUUCACCCAAAGAUUAUCUCCGCUCGUAUUAGCUAGGUGGUGAGGGUAAGGCCUACCAAGGUGAAGAAACAUAGCCGGACUGGAGAGGUGGUCGGCCAAAAUGGGACUGGGACAAGGCCCAAGCUUCCACGGGAAGCAGCAGUAGGGGAACUUUGGCAAAGGACGGAAGUCUGGCCGAGGAAACCCGCGGGGGGGAAUGAGGUUCUCGGGUCGGAAAACUCUGUUGAUAGAGGAGAACGUUAGUGGGAGUUGAAAGCUCAUCAAGUGACGGUAACUACCCAGAAAGGCACGGCUAACUACGUG